CCAACUCAUCGUCCUCCACCUCCACGCAGAACGCUGCAUUCUCGCCCUCGAGGACCUCCAUCUUCCGAGGAAGUUUACGAACAAUAGUACCUGCCUCUCACACAGAUACACGCCGUCAUCAUCUGUCCCGAUGUCAUGGAUGGUACCAGGCGGCAGGGAGCGACUCGUCGGGCAUCUCGCACUCCAGCACGGCAACGUCCCGCUCCCUCACCUCCACGUCUUUUAAUGAACGCCUGAAGCGAACAGCGUGGCCUGGAGAACAAGGGAAAACGUGACAGGAUGGAGGCUUAACAGAUUUAACACAAGCAGAGGGACCAGUCGUGACUUAUGGAAGAAAUGCUCAUACUGAAGGAGAAGGAUGUCAGACCUUGACACAAACACCCCGGUUAGCAGACGAGUGAGAAGACUGGGGCUGAUUGAGUCACAUGUCAG